GAUGAACGCUGGCUACAGGCUUAACACAUGCAAGUCGAGGGGAAACGGCAUUGUGUGCUUGCACUGAAUGGACGCCGACCGGCGUACGGGUGAGUAACGCGGAUCCAACCUUUCCGUUACUGCGGGAUAACCUGCCGAAAUGCAGACUAAUACCGCACGUUCUUCGAUGACGGCAUCAGAUUCGAAGCGAAGAUCCGUCAGUAACGGAGGGGGCUGCGUCUGAUUAGCUGGUUGGCGGGGCGACGGCCCACCAAGGCGACGAUCAGUAGGGGUUCUGAGAGGAAGGCCCCCCGCAUGGGAACUGAGACUCGGUCCAAACUCCGACGGGAGGCAGUAGUGGGGGAUAUUGGGCGAUGGGCGGAAGCCUGAACCAGCCAAGUAGGGUGCAGGAGGACGGGGGUACGGAUGGUAAUCUGCUUUUAUGCGGGGAUAAGGUGAGGGACGCGUCCCUUUUUGCAGGUACCGGAUGAAGAAGGACCGGCUAAUUCCGUG
rnacentral:rRNA from 1 species